AGACUCCAACUUCAUGGUCCUCGAGCUUGCAGACCCCAAUCCGAACUAAGACCGGCUUUCAGCGAUUCGCUCCACCUCACCCCUGUCGCUGCGCAUUGUACCGACCAUUGUAGCACGUGUGAAGCCCUGGACAUAACGGGCAUGAUGAUUUGACGUCAUCCCCACCUUCCUCCGAGUUGACCCCGGCAGUCUCUCAUGAGUCCCCACCAUAACGUGCUGGCAACAUAAGACAAGGGUUGCGCUCGUUGCGGGACUUAACCCAACAUCUCACGACACGAGCUGACGACAACCAUGCACCACCUGUAUACAAGCCACAAGGGAAACUACAUCUCUGCAGCAAUCCUGUAUAUGUCAAGCCCAGGUAAGGUUCUUCGCGUUGCAUCGAAUUAAUCCACAUGCUCCGCCGCUUGUGCGGGCCCCCGUCAAUUCCUUUGAGUUUUAGCCUUGCGGCCGUACUCCCCAGGCGGGGCGCUUAAUGCGUUAGCUACGGCACGAACCCCGUGGAAGGGCACUCACCCCUAGCGCCCACCGUUUACGGCAUGGACUACCAAGGGUAUCCUAAUCCCUGUUCGCUACCCAUGCUUUCCCUCCUCAACGUCAAAUAACUGCCCAGAAGACCUGGCUUCGCCAUCGGCG
rnacentral:rRNA from 1 species